rnacentral:rRNA from 1 species
UGGCGGCAGCUUACCAUGCAAGUCCAACGGUAACGGGAAGAAGCUUGCUUCUUUGCCGACGAGUGGCGGACGGGUGAGUAAUGCUUGGGAAUCCGGCUUAUGGAGGGGGAUAACGACGGGAAACUGUCGCUAAUACCGGGUAAUAUCUACGGAUUAAAGGGUGGGACUUUCGGGCCACCCGCCAUAAGAUGAGCCCAAGUGGGAUUAGGUAGUUGGUGGGGUAAAGGCCUACCAAGCCUGCGAUCUCUAGCUGGUCUGAGAGGAUGACCAGCCACACCGGGACUGAGACACGGCCCGGACUCCUACGGGAGGCAGCAGUGGGGAAUAUUGCACAAUGGGGGGAACCCUGAUGCAGCCAUGCCGCGUGAACGAAGAAGGCCUUCGGGUUGUAAAGUUCUUUCGGUAGCGAGGAAGGUGUUUUGUUUAAUAGACAAAGCAAUUGACGUUAACUACAGAAGAAGCACCGGCUAACUCACGUGCCAGCAGCCGCGGUAAU